rnacentral:rRNA from 1 species
CUGAACCAGCCAAGUAGCGUGAAGGAUGACCGCCCUAUGGGUUGUAAACUUCUUUUAUAUGGGAAUAAAGUGGUCCACGUGUGGAUUUUUGUAUGUACCAUAUGAAUAAGGAUCGGCUAACUCCGUGCCAGCAGCCGCGGUAAUACGGAGGAUCCGAGCGUUAUCCGGAUUUAUUGGGUUUAAAGGGAGCGUAGGCGGAUUGUUAAGUCAGUUGUGAAAGUUUGCGG